GAAUCAAGCAGGCCUGGGGGCUCCAGUCUGGCUUCUCCCAGCUCUGAGCUGCCUGACUCUGGACAAGUCACGUGAGUUCCCCUUCUUCCUCCACCUGGGAAACAGGGUGACACUCUCGUCCUCGGGGAGGUCGGAGCAGCGGAAAAGAAACUGCGGGGGAAGCACGCAGUAGGGGAUCCACAUGCUUCCGAAACCUGGACUCUGCCCCAAGGUUCCGGUCGUGGAACCUGUGGCCUAACCCCACGCUUGGCCAGCCCCGAGCAGGCGGGGGUCGGUUCACGUGGCCCAGGUUGCUUCAGUCAGAAUGCCUGGCAACGCUUUCGGAGGAGGGGGACAGAGGUCCGCAGGGCUACAGACGGAGGACCGGACUGCCCGGACCAUCUGACCAUCACGAGCGCACGGCCCCGAGGGCACCCGCGGAAAGAAGGCACCGGAGCCUGGACAGCCUGGUGAAUACCGAGACCGAACUGCCUCUCAGACGGGCCCCGCUUUGGAGUUUUAGUUCCUGAGUCAGUACACUGCGUCAGUGUUCAGACCAACUGGCGCCGGGUUUUCCGUAACAUUAGGACAAAGGAAAAGCACCUGGAACUCUUCCUUCUCUCUAGUCUCAGAGGCCUCGCCCGCCGUGCUGAGAGCUUUACUCCCGAGUCAGGCCUUGAAGCAAGUCUGCCCAACGCUAUUCCUUCCCCGACCCCUGCCACCAGGCGCUGUUAGGGACAGACAACGACCUCAACCCUAACAGUCAGACCCCCUGAGAUCGGCGCUGUCUCCGUGUUUCCCGUGAGUACACUGAGAACCCCAAAGAGGGGAAGUCAUUCUCUCCAGAACUACACAUGUCCGGUCCGGGCUAGCAAUGAGGACCCUGGUGGGUGAUAUGUCGGCUCUAGUUACUUAAAAAGGGUCUGUUACCUCGCGGUCAGCCGAGUCUCCUGCAGCCAGCAGCGCCCCAGCCCGGGGCCCGACAGUGCCCAGAGGCCUGCUGAGUGCUUUAAAAGGUACCGGGCACUGGGCGAAGUAAGAAUCCCCACACCGCUCCGGGAGAUUCGGCCCCAUCGGGGAAGCACCCGGGACCACGCAAGGCACAGAGUUGUGUUUUCCUCCCACUACAUUUCCUCUUCACUGGGCACCACCUCGUAGCUGGUGCUCACCGGCCCCUUCUCCGUGGGUGACGGCCAGCCUUACCCAGCAGCCAAAGAGAUACAUGGAAGCUUGA